GAUGAACGCUGGCGGCGUGCUUAACACAUGCAAGUCGAACGGACAGGCCCUGCGUUUGUGCGGUGCUCGAGUGGCGAGCGGGUGAGUAACACGUGAGUAACCUGCACUUGACUUUGGGAUAACUUCAGGAAACUGGGGCUAAUACCGGAUAGGAGCUCCUGCUGCAUGGUGUGGGUUGGAAAGUUUCGGCGGUUGGGGAUGGACUCGCGGCUUACCAGCUUGUUGGUGGGGUAGUGGCUGACCAGGGCUUUGACGGGUAGCCGGCCUGAGAGGGUGACCGGCCACAUGGGGACUGAGAUACGGCGCAGACUCCUACGGGAGGCAGCAGUGGGGAAUAUUGCACAAUGGGCGGAAGCCUGAUGCAGCAACGCCGCGUGCGGGAUGACGGCCUUCGGGUUGUAAACCGCUUUCGCCUGUGACGAAGCGUGAGUGACGGUAAUGGGUAAAGAAGCACCGGCUAACUACGUG
rnacentral:rRNA from 1 species